UGGGGAAUUUUUGGACAAUGGGCGAAAGCCUGAUCCAGCAAUGCCGCGUGUGUGAAGAAGGCCUUCGGGUUGUAAAGCACUUUUGUCCGGAAAGAAAUCCUUGGCUCUAAUACAGUCGGGGGAUGACGGUACCGGAAGAAUAAGCACCGGCUAACUACGUGCCAGCAGCCGCGGUAAUACGUAGGGUGCAAGCGUUAAUCGGAAUUACUGGGCGUAAAGCGUGCGCAGGCGGUUUGCUAAGACCGAUGUGAAAUCCCCGGGCUCAACCUGGGAACUGCAUUGGUGACUGGCAGGCUAGAGUAUGGCAGAGGGGGGUAGAAUUCCACGUGUAGCAGUGAAAUGCGUAGAGAUGUGGAGGAAUACCGAUGGCGAAGGCAGCCCCCUGGGCCAAUACUGACGCUCAUGCACGAAAGCGUGGGGAGCAAAGCAGGAUUAGAUACCCUGGUAGUCCACGCCCUAAACGAUGUCAACUAGUUGUUGGGGAUUCAUUUCCUUAGUAACGUAGCUAACGCGUGAAGUUGACCGCCUGGGGAGUACGGUC
rnacentral:rRNA from 1 species